CUUUAACAGCCUCUGGCAGCCCACUGUUUCCUCUUCAGUGCCAAUAAAGUUAUCCAGGAGUAGAACCUUUGAGACCAGGGGAGGGGCCAUACAGCCAGAAUGCCAAUCAGCAAAUAGACAGAGCCAUUACAACCAAUCAGUGAGCAGAGACAGCACUAUUAGGGCCCUGUCUCGGUCCUGCUGUGGCUGCCAGUGUGCCAAUCAAAGCCUUGACCAGACAGACUAUCAACAAAGAGACUGCCAUUGGCUCCUGCAGUUAUACUCAGCUUGAACAUGAUUGGGCUUGUUGGGCAGGUUUCCCAGAUACAAAUGAAACCUACUCCUGGACUAAAAAGCAUGACUAGGCUUAAUCUGUGUCUGUAUCUGGCCCUUUAAAUUCUGAACUGAUAAUGUAAAUCAGAGAGAAAUUAAAGAUUUUAGUUUGAUAGUUUGACUUUCUCUUAUUAUUAUAUUACUCUGCCGUAGCUAACUUACCCACCGUCCUUCUCUCUCUCUCCCUCCCUCUCUCUGUGCCUCACUCUACCCUUAUCUUUCUCUCUCUAUGCCUCCGCCCCUCUUUUUCUCUAUUUGCACCAUGCUUGGCCCUCUCUCUCCUUUCCCCCUCUCCCUCUGUCAGGCUCAUAUCGUACCCAGGAGCCUAUACUUAAUUGGUACUGACCUAAUUCUAACUGAACUAAUAAUUAAUCACAGGUUCAUAUCUUACCCAUGAGGCCAGUGGGCUGGACGAGCACGGGGAGGUCCAGGAGGCUUUCCUCAACGGGAAUGAUGCCAGUCAGGGCAAGAAGGAGUACCUACUGUAGCCUCCAUCCCCAAAACCCACACCCCUCCCCCAACAUGCCAUGACGGGUGGCCUUCUGAAUCUACUGUAAUACUACUGCACACAGACCACAACACAGACCACAACACAGACCACAACACAGACCACAACACAGACCACAACAGAGACUGAAAGAGAGACGAUCCGUCCAGCCCUUACAUUACAACUGUGCCAUACUGUAGAUGUACUGGAGGAAGGAGCGAGGGAGGGAGGGAGGGAGCGAGGGAGGAUGGCAGAGAUAGGGGAAAGUGAUAAUAGGGUCAUUAUUUUGAUAGAGAGAAGAGAUAACAAGAAAGAAAGCCUCAGCACUUUCCUUCCCUGUGGUAAUUGGAGAGGGAGGGAGAGAGAGAGAGGAAAGAGAAAAAAACUUCAAUUUCCAAAAUGUUCAAUCCAUAACUGGCACAGACAAACAAGUGGGGUGGGUAUGGUUUCCAGAAGCUAUUGAGUUUGAAUGCUCAAUUUGAUUACUUGAAAUUGCCAAAGCACAUCAGCCAACAGAGAGCAACUCAUCUAUAAUUAUUUGACAACAUUGCAGAGUGUUACCCUGAAAGUCUCUUAAAGUAUUUAUGAACUAUUCAGUCAAUUCUGCAGACGACCCAGGUAUUGUAUUUGCCGUCCGUGCUGGGGAGUCUGCCAAUGUUUUCUGGGUAAUUUAGAAACCUUCCUGUUAUGAAUGACUGCUUUCCUCGCAGAACAGAACUGUUGUUUCUCUUCUUUGAAUUCUCUCUCUCUCUUUCUCCCUCCCUCUCUAUUCACCUCUUUCUCAUCCUCUUCUUCUCCCUUGUUCCCUCCCUCCCUCUCUCUGUCUUUAUCUCUCCUCUAUUGUUGGCCAAUAAAGAAAGGAUUAGUGCCAGUCUCCUUUCGUGAGUUAGAAGAAAGGGAACAUAAGUCGACGAGACACAUUAAGGAAAAGCAUAAUUAUUUUAAAAUGCCCUUAAAGGGAUAAAAAUGUUAAAAUGUCUUAAAGAGAAACAAAUGAGUGAAAGGAAAGUAAUGAAUAAGGAAAAAUACAUGAUGGAUAUUUUUCUGAAUGCCAAGAACACACACACACACACACACACACACACACACACACACACACACACACACACACACACACACAUACAUAUCUCUGAAUUCUUUAUUUGUAUAAAAAUGUAAACAGUAAGAUAACUUAAAUGAACCUUUUAAGAAAUUGAGAAAACAAACAGUUGACUAUUGAAAGCAUUAUGAAGCUACUAUACUAACACAUUAUUAGCCUAGAGGUACAAAAACAAACAAACUACUGUCUAGUGAUCAAAACAAAAAAGAAAAGAUGGGGGAAAAAAUCAUUUGUCUUUAUGAAAUACCUGCGGUAUUAUAGAUUUUUUUUAUUAAUUCUUGUUAUUAUUUGGACUAUUAUGAUUGUUAUUAUUAUUACUGUUAUGAUUGUUAUUAUUAUUACUGUUAUGAUUAUUGUAAAUGUUAUAACUGUGCACCUCCCAUGUUUGUUGUUUUUGGUUAUUCUAUAGAAACUGCUGUCUUUCCACUUCUCUCUGACUCUGUCUCUCUAGUUCUCUCUAGUUCUUUCUAUCUUUGUCUCCUGUGUCUAUUUGUCUCUUCUUCUCGUCUUUCACUACUGUUUAUUUUAUAGUCAUGUUGAUAUAGCUAACUAUUUCUUUAUAGGGUAAAGAUACAAAGCACGACAAAAUAAAAAAAAUACUUCAAAAAUAACACAG